AACGAACGCUGGCGGCAGGCCUAACACAUGCAAGUCGAGCGAGGACUUCGGUUCUAGCGGCGGACGGGUGAGUAACGCGUGGGAAUGUGCCCUUCUCUACGGAAUAGUCCUGGGAAACUGGGAGUAAUACCGUAUACGCCCUAUUGGGGAAAGAUUUAUCGGAGAAGGAUCAGCCCGCGUUGGAUUAGGUGGUUGGUGGGGUAAUGGCCUACCAAGCCGAGGAUCCAUAGCUGGUUUGAGAGGAUGAGCAGCCACACUGGGGCUGAGACACGGCCCAGACUCCUACGGGAGGCAGCAGUGGGGAAUCUUAGACAAUGGGGGCAACGCUGAUCUAGCCAUGCCGGGUGAGUGAUGAAGGCCUGAGGGUUGUAAAGCACUUUCAGCUGCGAAGAUAAUGACGGUACCAGCAGAAGAAGCCCCGGCUAACUCCGUG
rnacentral:rRNA from 1 species